AUUGAACGCUGGCGGCAUGCCUUACACAUGCAAGUCGAACGGCAGCGGGGGAGAAGCUUGCUUUUCCUGCCGGCGAGUGGCGAACGGGUGAGUAAUACAUCGGAACGUGCCCUGUAGUGGGGGAUAACUAGUCGAAAGAUUAGCUAAUACCGCAUACGACCUGAGGGUGAAAGUGGGGGACCGCAAGGCCUCAUGCUAUAGGAGCGGCCGAUGGCUGAUUAGCUAGUUGGUGGGGUAAAGGCCUACCAAGGCGACGAUCAGUAGCUGGGCGGGGAGGACGAUCAGCCACACUGGGACUGGGACACGGCCCAGACUCCUACGGGAGGCAGCAGUGGGGAAUUUUGGACAAUGGGCGAAAGCCUGAUCCAGCAAUGCCGCGUGUGUGAAGAAGGCCUUCGGGUUGUAAAGCACUUUUGUCCGGAAAGAAAUGGCUCUGGUUAAUACCUGGGGUCGAUGACGGUACCGGAAGAAUAAGGACCGGCUAACUACGUGCCAGCCGCCGCGGUAA
rnacentral:rRNA from 1 species